rnacentral:piRNA from 1 species
UGCUUGCCUGGCAUACUGGAUGUUAAAUGAU